GACGAACGCUGGCGGCGCGCUUAACACAUGCAAGUCGAACGGUGAACCGGGCUUCGGCCCGGGGAUCAGUGGCGAACGGGUGCGUAACACGUGGGCAACCUGCCCCUCACUCUGGGAUAACCCCGGGAAACCGGAGCUAAUACCGGAUACUCCGACCGGUCCGCAUGGUCUGGUCGGGAAAGGUCCGCCGGUGAGGGAUGGGCCCGCGGCCUAUCAGCUGGUUGGUGGGGUAACGGCCUACCAAGGCGACGACGGGUAGCUGGUCUGAGAGGACGACCAGCCACACUGGGACUGAGAUACGGCCCAGACUCCUACGGGAGGCAGCAGUGGGGAAUCUUGCGCAAUGGGCGAAAGCCUGACGCAGCGACGCCGCGUGGGGGACGAAGGCCCUCGGGUUGUAAACCCCUUUCGGCAGGGACGAAGCGAUCGUGACGGUACCUGCAGAAGAAGCCUCGGCUAACUACGUGCCAGCAGCCGCCGUAACAC
rnacentral:rRNA from 1 species